GACGAACGCUGGCGGCGUGCUUAACACAUGCAAGUCGAGCGGAAAGGCCCUGCUUUUGUGGGGUGCUCGAGUGGCGAACGGGUGAGUAACACGUGAGUAACCUGCCCUUGACUUUGGGAUAACUUCAGGAAACUGGGGCUAAUACCGGAUAGGAGCUCCUGCUGCAUGGUGGGGGUUGGAAAGUUUCGGCGGUUGGGGAUGGACUCGCGGCUUAUCAGCUUGUUGGUGGGGUAGUGGCUUACCAAGGCUUUGACGGGUAGCCGGCCUGAGAGGGUGACCGGCCACAUUGGGACUGAGAGACGGCCCAGACUCCUACGGGAGGCAGCAGUGGGGAAUAUUGCACAAGGGGCGGAAGCAUGAUGCAGCAACGCCGCGUGCGGGAUGACGGCCUUCGGGUGGUAAACCGCUUUCGCCUGUGACGAAGCGUGAGUGACGGUAAUGGGUAAAGAAGCACCGGCUAACUACGU
rnacentral:rRNA from 1 species